rnacentral:rRNA from 1 species
UACAGAGGGGGCAAGCGUUGUUCGGAAUUACUGGGCGUAAAGGGCGCGUAGGCGGCCUGCUAAGUUGAACGUGAAAUCCCUGGGCUCAACCCAGGAACUGCGUCCGAUACUGGUUGGCUUGAAUCCGGGAGAGGGAUGUGGAAUUCCAGGUGUAGCGGUGAAAUGCGUAGAGAUCAGCAGGAACACCCGUGGCGAAGGCGGCCCCCUGGGCCGUACCUGACGCUGAGGCGCGAAGGCUAGGGGAGCGAACGGG